GCAAAGGUUUAUUAACUAUUCCUGAGUCUCUGUUUGCUACUAAAUGGGACAGAUCUUUUUCUGUGUUAGCUCCAACGCUCUGGAAUGCUCUGCCUCAGUAAAUAAGACCAACUCUCUUAAGAAUGAGGCAGGUGUUAUCCAUGCAAGAUGUGGGUCGGGAUUUCCAGGCUAUCAACAGUCGGCAUCACAUAAACAUCUCGACAAAAAAAGGAGUGACAUCAACAAAAGUCAAGUCAAGAUGGCGGCAAGUCAAGAUGGCGCCAUCACACCUCAAAGCUGAUCUCUCGUGAGCGGCCAAAGAGGGGCUCCGUUGGCCGGAAGGUGUCAGAAUAGCUUC